rnacentral:lncRNA from 1 species
UCCUCACAUCUGCUAUGCUUCUGCCUUCCUACGCUGGCAGGAGCCGCUGAGAAGCUCAAAUGGAGUAAAGGAGGAGAACGAGAGGAAAGUCCAUACCCAAGUGCAAUCAAGAAUGGAAGAAUUGAAAGGGGAGAAAAAAACUAGGAAGGAAAGAAUAUAGAGACAGAAAAGAAAGCCGGAGCAAGGAACUAAAGCCUGCAAGGUUGAUGUAUCUCUCUGAUAUCAAGGAAGGACCUGUAACAUUGAGGCCUGGUAA